rnacentral:rRNA from 1 species
CUUGAGGCAAGAGUGACGGGCGAUUUGUGCAUACUUGAUUUCUUCUUUUAGAAAGAUUUAUUGUUUCUUAAUUUAUUAUCAAGUCCCAUUUCAUACUUUUUUAAAUAGAAAUUCACAAUUUAAAUCUUUGUAUCCCACUUAACUCUUAAUUAUAGACUCUGUCCUGAUUUGUUUUACCCCCUUGCAGGGGCUAAAUUCUUUUUUAGAAUAAAACUUUAAAACAAUGAUAUAGAAACUUAUAAAUUAAGUCAUACUUAAUCGUGGGUUAUCUAUCACGGAGCAGGAUCCCCUACAUAGUUCUAGUACCGCCAUUCCACAUAGGUUUGGUUUAUCUAACUACUAACAUAUUUUUAUUUAAAA